UACGGAGGGAGCUAGCGUUGUUCGGAUAUACUGGGCGUAAAGCGCACGUAGGCGGCGCCGUAAGUCAGGGGUGAAAUCCCGGAGCUCAACUCCGGAACUGCCCUUGAAACUGCAGUGCUAGAAUCUUGGAGAGGCGAGUGGAAUUCCGAGUGUAGAGGUGAAAUUCGUAGAUAUUCGCAAGAACACCAGUGGCGAAGGCGGCUUACUGGUCCGGAUCUGACGCUGAGGCGCGAAAGCGUGGGGAGCAAACAGG
rnacentral:rRNA from 1 species